rnacentral:rRNA from 1 species
GAGUUUGAUCGUGGCUCAGAUUGAACGCUGGCGGCAUGCCUUACACAUGCAAGUCGAACGGCAGCACGGGAGCUUGCUCCUGGUGGCGAGUGGCGAACGGGUGAGUAAUGCAUCGGAACGUAUCCUGGAGUGGGGGAUAACGUAGCGAAAGUUACGCUAAUACCGCAUAUUCUGUGAGCAGGAAAGCGGGGGACCUUCGGGCCUCGCGCUCUUGGAGCGGCCGAUGUCGGAUUAGCUAGUUGGUGAGGUAAAGGCUCACCAAGGCGACGAUCCGUAGCAGGUCUGAGAGGAUGAUCUGCCACACUGGAACUGAGGACACGGUCCAGACUCCUACGGGAGGCAGCAGUGGGGAAUUUUGGACAAUGGGGGCAACCCUGAUCCAGCCAUGCCGCGUGAGUGAAGAAGGCCUGG